GUUUCUGUGCUAGAAGUCAGAUGGUUCGGAUGUGCGACAGAGCUGAAGCAAGCGAUUGGGAACAAAACCGGUUAGUAAAAGCAUCUCGAAUUUCUGCUCGACAUACGAACAACAUUUUUUGUACGAGAACCGUUGGCAGACAUCAGCAUGCUCCAAUGGCCAUUGCUGGCCGUCAAGGCCACUAUACCGCCAGACUUGUGGGUCUUCUUGCCUUUCUUCAAUUCGCCUUUCGCGGUUUCGCCCAAGAACUCCAGGACACGGUUGUAGUCGUAUUGAUCGUGUCCUUCCACUUUAAAGACCGUUUUGACGCUCUUGUUCUCUUUCCGCUUUUCACGCUACUCCUUUUUGGCCCGCAUGGACCGGAGUUGGUCACUCUCAAAAUAUCGGGUGUUGGUGGCAACAGAAUGAGUUGAGAAGUCGUACAGGAAUCCAUACUUUCUCCGUUGAGAGACUGGAUUGGAGGACGAGCUCCCUUUGAUGACAAGAUCUUCAAAGUUUUCGUGAAGGUUUAAUGAAGCCGAAGGAUCGGGGGUGGUUGACAUUUGAAUCGUCUCUCCUGGAUGGUUUCCCAAAGAGUCGCUGCUAAAGGACUCUUGGUCGACAUUGCCAUUGGUGUUGUCGUCAUGGCUGUCUUCGUGAGUGUGUGGAAUACCCACGGGCUGAGUAUUAUCGAAUACCUCGGAGGAUUCCGGCUCAAGCAUGCUCCCCCUAGAAGUAUUCCGGCCAAAUGCAACGAGAUGUCCGAUCUUAUCACCGACCGAGCAAGUGGUAUUUUUCGCGGAGCUGUGGCUUUUGGGUCGUCAUCGUGAGAGGGUUCCUCCAGUUUGUGAUCACAGUAAAUCUCGAACCUUUCCAACCAAUGCUCGAACCCCAUCGCCACGUCUGGAGCGUGAUCGUUUGGGUUGAAUGGUCGGGAGUCCAUUGCGGAUUGCGUGGCCUCGUCGUCAGUAAAAUAAAUCCAGUUCUCAAAAUAAGAA